AACGAACGCUGGCGGCAUGCCUAACACAUGCAAGUCGAACGAGACCUUCGGGUCUAGUGGCGCACGGGUGCGUAACGCGUGGGAACCUGCCCUUAGGUUCGGAAUAACUCCCCGAAAGGGGUGCUAAUACCGGAUAAUGUCUUCGGACCAAAGAUUUAUCGCCUUUGGAUGGGCCCGCGUUGGAUUAGCUAGUUGGUAGGGUAAAAGCCUACCAAGGCGACGAUCCAUAGCUGGUCAGAGAGGAUGAUCAGCCACACUGGGACUGAGACACGGCCCAGACUCCUACGGGAGGCAGCAGUGGGGAAUAUUGGACAAUGGGCGAAAGCCUGAUCCAGCAAUGCCGCGUGAGUGAUGAAGGCCUUAGGGUUGGAAAGCUCUUUUACCCGGGAUGAUAAUGACAGUACCGGGAGAAUAAGCUCCGGCUAACUCCGUG
rnacentral:rRNA from 1 species